ensembl:lncRNA
UUUUUUUUUCCCCGUGACUCCCAAAGUCUCAAGACUUGUCCCUGCAAGGCAAAGCUACCACUCUGAGAUGGCCACUUCCUCAUAUUGCUUUGCUGAGAAAGGCCUUCCCUCUCCUCUGUGAGAGUUCUAUAAACUGAACACUAAUGACUUGAAGUCGGUGCAGAUGACCUCCAACUGGAAACCUCCGUAUUGUGUCUUUUGAUCAGCAGUUAAGGUUAAUUAACCUGAUUUUCCUUAAUUACUUCAAAUGCCUCAGCUCACCUGUAUACAUGCAGCUUGUCUGGGUUAGACAAGACAUAUAGGAAUGCUCUAAACACUGCUUCCAGUGAUGCCAGAAAUAGUUUACAACUGCGUUGCUUGUCCUCAUGCUUUUCCUCACUCUCAUGAUAUAUUCAGUUUUUAUGGGCAGUGUAUCAUGGUGUGUACCAUAGGUGUCAGUGGAGCAGGGAGGAUCCCGGUAGCUGUCUGCUCAGGUAACAUUUCCUAACAUUAUGUGUGUUUCCUUGUAGAUGUGGUAUUUCUCUCCGAGCAAACUCUCCCUGUACCAGGAUGUAGGAAUAGCUGCUGUGGAAGAAAUUAAUUGAGGUUCUGUAUGAGUCAGUCCUUUAGGGGGCCGAUCAUUUCAUGGCUACUGCUCUCUCGAAGAGAGGAAACGUAGCCUUCUUUUUUUCCUCCAGGGAAAGGAAGGUGAAAAGCAAAUUUCUUAGUUUCUUCUUCUUUGAUAUAUACCACGGUUUGGCACUACGGAACUACUGCAUUUUGGAGAUGCUGCCCUGCUGCUAUAGAUACGUAUCUGGACUCGAUUCACUGCAACCCUGCAGAAAAAUAGUGUUCAAAUUAUUGACAAUUAUUUUUCAAAAUAAUAUUUUCUUUUUCUUUCUUUUUUAUUUUAUUAUUAUUAUUAUUAUUUUAAGUUAUAUUCGGGAAGUCUGACUGAGUGGAUAUUUAAUCCAUCAUCUCCUUUGUAUUUAGUCAUUGUUACCUUUUUAAAGUGUGCUCUCAAUGUGGCAAAUAAAAAGGUAAGUCUAAGGAUAAUAUUGCCAAGGGUUUUGCAAAUACAGAUAUAUUUUCCUUAUUUCUCAUGUAUAAAUAGCCUCACUGCUAUACUGGAAGCUUGGUAGAGUCUUGUUUGGGUUUUAUGUGUGUGAGUAUACUGGAAUGGUAAUUUUGGAAGCCAGAAUUGAGGAUUUCAGCCUGCUCACUUCUAAGUGAGUGUUAAACUGGAUUUGGUGCUGUAAGAGAUGGGAUUGGAAUACAUUUCUGAUAACCAGCACCAGUUAAUUUAAGAUUAUAGUUCACAUCUUCAGAGAUUUUCAGGCUUCUCCAGUGGGAGCAAAGUGCUCAAGAACUAUGAAAGCUCCAGGGCACAGAGCGUAUCCUUAUCUACAACUUUUAUUCUGUGAAAUUAUGUCAUUUGCAUAAGAAUGCAAAAAUUGUGUUCCAAAACAUGCUUUCUAUGCAUGGGAUUGUGAUGAAAUCACCAGUGAUUGCUUUUUAAGUCAUGUUGUGCCUUAUCCUGAGUUAGUAUCUGCAUUUUCUCUGAGGUCUUGCAGUCAGUGGUGUGUAUUCUUAAUACUAUAUGGAAACAAAGAUCUUUUAGAGAUAAAGAUGUUACGUUCAAAGUUAUAUCUUAGUACUUGAAGUCUGGUUGAAAAGCAGUUUUAAUCCUGAUCUCAAAGCUUGAUAUUACUUACUAAAAAUGGUAUCCGUACCAUUAGUUGGUAGGAGUAUCUGUCAUUAUUUUUCUCAGUAGUGUGUGGCAGAAACCCAAAGGCUUUGCCUUCCCUUUUGUGUGCUAUGAAAUCAGGUCCUGUUGGGUCUGAAAUAGACCGAUAACUGAAAGGCAGUGAGAAGGCAGCACCGAAAGGAUCAGGAAUGUAGAAAAAUAAAUGGUGGAAGGUGUGAAGAUGACAUUAGUAAAAUU